CCCUUAGAUGUUCUGGGCCGCACACGCGCUACACUGAAGGAGGCAGCGUGUACUCCUGGAUCGAAAGAUUUGGGUAACCCGCGAAUCUCCUUCGUGCUAGGGAUUGAGGUUUGCAAUUAUCCUUCAUGAACGAGGAAUUCCCAGUAAAUGCAAGUCAUAAGCUUGCGCUGACUACGUCCCUGCCCUUUGUACACACCGCCCGUCGCUACUACCGAUUGAAUGAUUUAGUGAGGACUUCGGACUGGGACCGAUGCGGCUUUCGGGCUGCGUCGGUAUUCUGGAAAGAUGUCCAAACUGUAUCAUUUAGAGGAAGUAAAANUCGUAACA
rnacentral:rRNA from 1 species